UACGGGGGGGGGCAAGCGUUGUUCGGAAUUACUGGGCGUAAAGGGCUCGUAGGCGGCCAUCUAAGUCGGACGUGAAAUCCCUCGGCUUAACUGAGGACGUGCGGAAGAAACUGCAAGGCUCGAGUCCGGGAGAGGGGGGUGGAAUUCCCAGUGUAGCGGUGAAAUGCGUAGAUAUUGGGAGGAACACCGGUGGCGAAGGCGGCCCCCUGGACCGGUACUGACGGCUGAGGCGCGAAAGCGUGGGUAGCAAACGGG
rnacentral:rRNA from 1 species